GGGAGAAAAAAGGAAAAAAUAAAAUCUUUAAAAAAAAAAAUAAAAAAAAAAAAGAAGAGCACCUCCUACUUCACCUCGUCUGAGUGUGUUUGGGCACUGGGCAGGAGGAUAAUUGCACGGAUCGCUGUGAAUGGUGCCUUGUCAAGUAGGGGUAUAUGUUGGAAUGGAAGGCUAGAGACGGAUUGGCUGAGCAGUCCACAAAGACGGAGAAUCUCUUUCAUGAUCAGGUUCUUUGCUCCUACUUGGGCAGUUGUGAGGUGGGUGGAGGUGCAGGGGGACACCUUAGUUUGAAGAUGGCAGGGACCACAUCUGAAGUGGAGGCCAUGAUAAUUUCAGAUGAAUUUAGGAUUGAAGAUGGUGCUGUUGCCUGGACUUCUACUUGUCUCAGAGGUAGACAUCAAGAGUAGGGUCAAGCUAAAGAGAGUCACCAGAUGUAUUAGUUUCCUAGGGCUGAUGUAAUAAAUUGCCACAAAUUGGGUGUCUUAAAACAAAAUAAAUUUAUUCUUUCACAGUUCUAGAGGCCAGAGGAUGUCAGACUCUCUCCAAAGGCUCCGAAGGCUCUAGGGGAGAAUCCUUCCUUGCCUCUUCCAUCUUCUGGUGGCUCCAGGUGUUCCUUGGCUUGUGGCCGUAUAACUGCAAUCUCUGCCUCUGUCUCCACAUGGCCUCCCCUCUGUUUCUCUGUGUCUCCUGCCUGUGUGUCUUUGAUAAGAACACUUGUCAUUGGAUUUAAGGUCCACCUGGAUAAUCCCAGGAUGAUCUUGCCUUGAGAUCCUUAACUUACUUACAUCUGCAAAAACCCUUUUCCUAAACAAAGUCACAUUCACAGGUUCUGGGAUCUGGGCAGAUAUUUUGGGGGCCACCCUUGAACCCACUACACCAAGUCCCUUGCAUACUAUGUUCAGAGAUACAAAUAGUUUGAGGUGACCCCACAGGUGAGCCUAUAUUUCAGUCUGUUAUUUGCAUGCCCUGAUAAUUCUCUCUCAGCCUUCCUCACCUCUGUGCUUCCAGCAGAUGUCUUGGAUCAUGGCCAGAUGCCCUGGGAAGAUGUGAUUUUCUGCCUGUGCCCUGCCUGUGACCUGAUGGCUGAUAUGCUCAGUCUGAAGGAUUUCCUGAGGGCCUGCCCUGGGAUUCCAGCUUCCAAGCCACAGUGUCGGCCUGAAUACUUAGCAUGUCUUGCACUGGAUACUCCCAUUGGAAGAGGAGGGCAAGGGAGCCAGGGCACAAAGGGAGGUGGAGAAGGAUGGAGAAACAAGUGGAAGAUAUUCAGCACAACCAACCACGGUAGAUAACAUAUCAAGUACCUGCCUUCUACUAUACAGACAGAGUGGUAAGGGAAAUGGGCUCUGGAUUUAUACAGAUUAUGACUCUAUUCUUUAUGAUUUAAUUCAAACUGUGUGUUUGGCUAGACUUUCCCCCGACUUCUCUGAGUCUUAUUUUUUCUUUUGUAAAAUAUGGAUAGAAGACCUAGUUUCCUAGGUUGUUCUCAGGUUUAAGAGAUAUUACAUAGAUUAGGAUAUAGCAAAGUCUGUUUGAUGCUGAAAACUUUAGGGCAAUAAGGAAACUUAGAACCUAGUCAUCUGUCAUCUUUGCUCUUGCCUGUCAGCUACUAAGUGUCCACCGCAGGCUCCGUGCCUAGGGAGUUUAUAUUCUUGGGCAAUUUUUGAACCAGUUGGGAAUGUAUUAUAUAGGGAUAUCAAACCUGUAUAUUCUCCAAGCAUUGG
rnacentral:lncRNA from 1 species